GGGAGGCGCGUCCGGUUCCCAGCCCGACGCGCGCGCGGGGCUGCUUUCACAGGUGGUGGAGGAACCGCGUAAAAGGUGCCUUCAGGGUCGGAAGACGGUCGUCGCCCUCCGUUCAGCACUCACUCAAUAUUGUGCACGGAGCACUGGGCUCCCAGAUGAAUGAGACCCGCCGUGCUCUCUGGGGUUCAGUCUGAGAAGACUUUCAAAGUUGGGAAGUUAGCUCUGUGAGCUGAGGAGGGCUCGGCUCAGACCGCCGUGGGCGUGCGGAGCGGCAGCCGCCGAGGCGGUUUCAGGAGGGGCUCUGUGCGGUCCGCUUGGAGGGAGGUCCCGGGGAGGAAGCGCCGAUUGAUUACUCACGGGAGAUGAAUGCGUUUUUGUUCAAAGCUUGACUCUUUUCUAAUAGAUAAGUAACUUUACCGAGUGCUAACUAACUAAACUGCUCGAUUAUCUCAGCUGGUUUUCGUAAUAAUCCUGUAUUUAGGUAUUAUAAUUAUGCCCUUUUUACAGACAAGGAAACUGAGGAAUGGAUCGCACAGCUAGCGAGCGAGGUAAGAGCUGGCAUCUGGAAGUCCGCCGCAGAGACCACGCGCAUAAUCACUGUGCCGUGGGCACGUUUUGUCCACGGGAUGAGUAAGUGUCAGUGUAAAAGCAAAGGGUACGUGUCAGGAGCUAAGCUCCUCUCUGUGCUUAAUCUAUUUAUUAAUGUUUAUCCUUACAUGCACUUUAAAAAGCAGGCACUGCUAUUAUUCCCAUUUUAUGGAGAAGGCGACAGACUGAGAAGGUAAGAAACUUUCUGAUGACUUCUAAAUCUGUUUCUCCACCACCGCUUUUCUCCUAAGCUCCAGACCUUACAUCCUGCUGCUUCCUUGGCAUGGACACUCGGAUGUCUGAUAAAUAGGCCUCUCAGAACACAGCCUUUCCUCCGCCAACCUGCUCUUCCCCUGCUCAAUGCGUCUAGAAUCAGAUCACUUCUUAUCACCUCCAGUGAUGCCAUCAUUAUCACUGACCCACAAGAGCACAGCAGUCUCCCUGAUUCUGCCAUUGGCCCCUCCAGCCUGGUCUCAACACACCAGCCAGGACGUCAAAGAACAAACGUUUUUAAUUUUGAUGAAGUCCAAUAUAUUGAUUGAUUUCUUUUGUAGUUUGUGCUUUUUAUGCCCUAUUUUUAAGAUCUUUGCCCAACUCAAAGACGUUAAGAUUUUCUCCUGUUUUCUUCCAGAAGUUUAAUAGUUAUAGCUCUUGCAUUUAGAUCUAUGAUUCAUUUUGAGUUAAUUUUUUUUUAAAGAUUUUUUUUUUUCCCUUUUCUCCCCAAAGCCCCCAGUACAUAGUUGUAUGUUCUUCAUUGUGGGUCCUUCUAGUUGUGGCAUGUGGGAUGCCGCCUCAGCGUGGCUUGAUGAGCAGUGCCAUGUCCACGCCCAGGAUUCGAACCAACAAAACACUGGGCCGCCUGCAGCAGAGCGCGAACUUAACCACUCAGCCACAGGGCCAGCCCCUUUUUUGAGUUAAUUUUUGUGUAUGAUGUGAGGUACGAGUCAAGGUUUAUUUGUUUAUUGCAUAUGGCUAUCUAAUUGUUCCAUCUUCAUUUGUGGAAAAGAUUAUCUUUUUCCGCCUAAUUGCUUUGUCCCCUUUGUUAAAAAUCAAUUGACCACAUGUGUAGGUCUGUUUCUAUACUCAAAACUACACUGUCUUGAUUACUGCAGCUUUUUAGUGUCUUGAAAUAGGGUAAUGUAAGUCGUCCAACUUUGUUCUUUUUCAAAAUUGUUUCAGCUAUUCAGAAUCCUUUGCAUUUCCAUAUAAAUUUUAGUAUCACCUAAUUUGUAUCUUUUAAAAAGCCUACUGGGAUUUGGUUGGUAUUGCAUUGAUUCUAUAGAUGAAUCUGGGGAGAAUUCACAUCUUAACAAUAUUGAGUCUUCUCAUCUUUGAGGAUGGCAUAUCUCUUCAUUAUUUAAGUGAUUUUUAAUUUCACUCAACAACGUUUUGUAAUUUUCAGUGUACGGGUCUUGCAUCUUAAAUAUCUUUUGUCAGAUUUGUUCCUAAGUUUUUCAUAUUUUUGAUGCUAUUAUAACUGGUAUUAUUUUUGUCAAUUUCAAAUUCCAAAUGGUCAUUGCUAGUGUAUAGACAUAGAGUUAAUUUUUGCAUAUUGACUUCAUCCUGCAGCCUUGCUACUUCAUUCUUAUGGUUCACUUAUUAGUUCUAGUGGCUUUUUUGUAAGUUCCUUAGGAUUUUUCACAUCUGUGAAUAGACAGAUUUAUUUCUUCCUUCCUAAUCUAGAUGCCUUUUAUUUCUUUUUCUUGUUGUAUAGUACUGGCUAGCACUUCCAAUACAAUGUUGAAUUAAUAAGUGACAUUUCAUAAAAUUAAAAACUCUUGAUUUUCUUUUUUUUAAAGAUUUUAUUUUUCCUUUUUCUCCCCAAAGCCCCCCAGUACAUAGUUGUGUAGUUUUGGUUGUGGGUCCUUCUAGUUGUGGCAUGUGGGAUGCCGCUUCAGUAUGGUUUGAUGAGCGGCGCCAUGUCCACACCCAGGAUUCGAACUGGUGAAACCCUGGGCCGCCAGAAGUGGAGCAUGCGAACUUAACCACUGGGCCAUGGGGCCAGACCCCACUCUUGAUUUUCAAAUGACAUUGCUAAGAAAAUAAAAGCAAGAGACAAACUGGGAGAAAAUAUUUGCAAAACAUAUAUCCAACAAGGGACUUGCAUCUAGAACAUAAAAAUUCUUAAAAGUCAACAAUAAAAAGUGAAACCACUCAAUUAAAAAAAAGAGCAUAAAAUUUGAAAGACAGUUCACUGAAGAAGAUAAACAGAUGGCAAAUAAAUACAUGAAAUGAUGAUCAACAUUAUCAAUCGUUAGGGAAAUGCAAAUUAAAACUACAGUGAGAUAACAUUACAAAUUCAUUGGAAUGGCUAAAAAUUAAAAAGGUUGACAAUAUCAAGUGAUAAGAAAGUGGAGCAACUGGAACUUUCUGGGUUUUUUAUUUAUUUAUUUUUUGGUGAGGAAGAUUGUCGCUGAGCUAACAUCUAUGCCAGCCUUCCUCUAUUUGGUAUGUGGGAUGCCGCCACAGCGUGGCUUGGUGAGUGGUGUGUAGGUCUGUGCCCGAGAUCCAAACCUCUGACCCCUGGGCUGCCAAAGCAGAGCGUGUGAACUUAACCACUAUGCCACAAGGCUGGCCCCUGGAAUCUUCAUACAGUGUUCAGAAUUGUAAAAUGGUACAACCACUUUUGAAAACAGUUUGGCGGUUUCUAAAAAAGUAAAAUAUGCACCCACCGUAUGACAACAUUGCACUACGCAGUAUCUCCCGAGAGAAAUGAAAGCAUACAUCCAUGCCAAGACUUGAACAUGAAUGUUCAUAGCACAUUUAUUUGUAAUAGCCAGACUGGAAACCACGCAAUGUCCUUCAACAGGGGAUUGGAUAAACAACUUGCCGUGUAUUCAUACAGUGGAAUACUACUCAGUUAUGAAAAGGAACAAACUUGAUACAUGCAACAAAAUGGAGAAAUCUUAAUGCUGUGGAGUGAAGGAAACCAGACAAAGACUGCAUACUGUAUGAUUUCAUUUCUGGAAAAUAUAAACUAAUCUCCUGUGGUGGAAAGAUUAGUGGUUGCCUGGGAGGGGGAGGUCAGGAGAGAAGAAUCAAAAAAGGACAUGGGGAAACUUUUGGGGGUGAUAGAUGUUCAUUAUCUUGAUUGUGGUAAUGGUUUCAUGUGUGUACACAUGUCAAAACUCAUAUUGUACAUUUUUAAUAUGUGCAGUUUAUUGUGUGUCAAUUAUACCACAAUAAAGAUGUAACAAAAAAGUAAACAAGAAAAAA
rnacentral:lncRNA from 1 species